UGGGGAAUAUUGGACAAUGGGCGCAAGCCUGAUCCAGCCAUGCCGCGUGAGUGAUGAAGGCCCUAGGGUUGUAAAGCUCUUUCACCGGUGAAGAUAAUGACGGUAACCGGAGAAGAAGCCCCGGCUAACUUCGUGCCAGCAGCCGCGGUAAUACGAAGGGGGCUAGCGUUGUUCGGAUUUACUGGGCGUAAAGCGCACGUAGGCGGACUUUUAAGUCAGGGGUGAAAUCCCGGGGGCUCAACCCCCGGAACUGCCUUUGAUACUGGAAGUCUUGAGUAUGGUAGAGGUGAGUGGAAUUCCGAGUGUAGAGGUGAAAUUCGUAGAUAUUCGGAGGAACACCAGUGGGCGAAGGCGGCUCACUGGGACCAUUACUGACGCUGAGGUGCGAAAGCGUGGGGAGCAAACAGGAUUAGAUACCCCUGGUAGUCCACGCCGUAAACGAUGAAUGUUAGCCGUUGGGGGA
rnacentral:rRNA from 1 species